CAAUUCUUAUCUUUCUACUAGAAUAUAAAGAAUGAACAAAAUAAGAAAAACGAAAUAUCUAUUUUCAAUAGGGGUUAACGCCGGUUGUGGCGACGGUUGUGGCCCAGGCGCCGUUUCGUCUAUUUCCCCAAUGAAUAUGGACCAUAAAAAAACAAAUAUAAAAUGAAAGACACUACAUAGAAAUAGAACGAUUAUGGGGAUGUACGGCUUAAUCAAUGUUUCAAAUAGNNNNNNNNNNNNCUUGAAAAAUGAGAGCUACGAAAACGGUUCGUUUAACCAACCAAUUCCAGUUGAUCAACCAUCUCC
rnacentral:misc_RNA from 1 species